rnacentral:misc_RNA from 1 species
UUUUUUCCUUUUUUUUUUUUUUUGUUUUUUAUGGUACAAAGUCAAAAACAGCUUCCAGCUUUAGGAGAAAAGAACCUUUCAACAUCACGUGAUAAGCACAAAGGCCCAAAUCUUGACAUAUCUCAUUUUUGGAAAAGACAAGGACAACAUACGAUAGCUGCACAUCACGACCCAUGCUCAAGCAUCAUCUCUUUCUGCAAGUCAGCCCAAGCAUAUUCACACUCACAUGUCUGCAAUCAAAGUCAAAUUAAAUUGUUUAAAAUCGUAACGGAGAAGGUGAUCCUUUCAGAGCUCAGAACCAAUUAGCAUGAUCGUCAUGCGUGCAAUCUGACUUCUAACUACACCAUCACAAAAUCAUAACAAGGAGAAGAAGCCAUCAUACCUUGAUAACAAUCCAUGUCGCGUGGCUCCACAAGAAUAUAAAGUGGCUUUCCCCUGAGCCUACACUGCCCCUGAAAGACAACAUUGUCAGAGAAAAAAUCAUGCAUAAGGUUAAAAAUACUUAGUUUGCAGAGGACAUAAAAAAAUACGAGUCAUUAUUACAUAUCAGACAGUAGCUAAUUCUCUCUUUAAUCAUUUCUCAGUGAAGGUUUCUUCAUAUAAAACUCAAGUACAAGGAAAUAUAAGAGAGAUAAUAUAACAGUAAUGGUACUGCUUAAAUCAUUACCUUGACCUCAGGCAACCCGAUAACACAAGCACAUUCAACUACUUCAGCUCCCAUGCGUUCUAACCAAAACAUUAAAAUAUGACACACGGUAUUGGUGAGAAUAAGCCAAACAGCUGACAGUGAAUAAAGGUAAUGGGGUCAAGUCGAGGACAAGAUUACCCAGGAGUCUUAUUGCAGCUGACAGGGUCCCGCCUGUGGCUAUCAAAUCAUCAAUUACCAAAGCACGUUCCCCGGGCUGAACAGCACCAACGUGCAUUUCUAGACAGUCGGUUCCAUAUUCCAGCACGUACUGUUCAGAGAUCACUGAAGCUGGCAGCUUUCCUGGUUUUCUUAAAGGAACAAACUUUGCACCAAUGGCUAAGGCAAUUGAUGGGCCAAACAUGAACCCUCUUGCUUCAACUCCUACAUAUUAAAAAAAACUUGCUAGAAUUGGAUAAGUAGUAAAACAAAUCUAAAAGAAUAUCAUUAUCAAAAAUUUAGAUGAUAGAUCAUCAUCACACCAUCUUCAGUUAACCAUGAGAUCCAAACAGGGAAAUUAGAACCCUUAUACGUUAAUUGUUAAGCACCCUCCGAUAGAUCUACCAAUACCCUUGUGAAACUGGCAUUCAUGUGGGCAGCUGAUCAGUUUUGCUCACAACUGAUAUGAACAAUACAGAAAUAUCGGAACACUACUGGAAUUGAGGUUACACUCAGUUUUUAGCAGGCAGCAGACUAAACAAUAGGUAGUUGGGGUAAUUAUCCUUUGAAAGCAAUAAAAAAAAUGCUUGAAUGUGGAUAGUAGGAAUAAAGUCAACAUAUAAAAUGAGCAAAAAUAUGAAAUCUAAGAAUGUAGUCAAAUGAACCAAAUAAAUAAUCCGUUGUGCAUUGAGAACUAUACUAAUACAGUGCUUUACAAAACACUAACAGAGAGAGGAUAUGGUAGAAUGAAGAGGUGAAGAUAAAAUAGCACUGUGUCUGUGUUUAUAGAAACUCCCCAGUUUACCCUUUCCUUUUCUUUUUCUCCUGCUGUCACAGGGAAUUCAGACUACUGUUGAAAGAAACAGGCAUAAAUUUGUCAAGGAAUUACCACAAAUGCAUCAUCUUUCCAUAUGUGGACAAUAUAUCAUGAAAGAGCAAAAGCUAAAAUUAGCCAAAUUCUCCAAUUUUGACCAAAAUUAUUUUUUCAAAAUAUAUAAAAUUCAAAACCGAAAAAAGAAUGUAGUUAAUGAUAACAGACUUCCUAUAUUCGGGUAGUUCACCAAUUACUGGUAAAUGUAAUUAAGGGAGAAAAAAAUAGAGACGGAGAGGGAAGAAGCUUUAAUAUAAUACCAGCAACAACAGAAAUGCCCAUAUCUCUGUAGCGAUCAACAAAUAUGUCUACGGUGUCCUUAAAAACCUUGUGAUCCAGAAACAAGGUUGUUAUGUCUUGAAACAUUAUUCCUGGCUUGGGAAAGUCAGGCACCACCCUAAUAGCUUCAGAGAUGCCUUGUAGCCUGGGGUCUCCUCUGAGUCCGUUCUCCGCAGCAAACAUUUCUC